rnacentral:rRNA from 1 species
CCUACGGGAGGCUGCAGUGGGGAAUAUUGCACAAUGGGGGAAACCCUGAUGCAGCGACGCCGCGUGAGUGAAGAAGUCUUUCGGUAUGUAAAGCUCUAUCAGCAGGGAAGAAAAUGACGGUACCUGCUUAAGAAGCCCCGGCUAACUACGUGCCAGCAGCCGCGGUAAUACGUCGGGGGCAAGCGUUGUCCGGAUUUAGUGGGUGUAAAGGGGGCGUAGGCGGCAGGACAAGUCUGGAGUGAAAUGCCGGGGCUUAACCGCGGAACUGUAUUGGAAACUGGGGAGCUAGAGUGCGGGAGAGGGAAGUGGAAUUCCUGGUGUAGCGGUGAAAUGCGUAGAUAUUAGGAGGAACACCAGUGGCGAAGGCGGCUUACUGGGCUGUAACUGACGUUGAGGCUCGAAAGCGUGGGGAGCAAACGGGAUUAGAUACCCCGGUAGUC